UACAGAGGUGGCAAGCGUUGUUCGGAAUUACUGGGCGUAAAGGGCGCGUAGGCGGCCUUGUAAGUCCUGUGUGAAAUCCCCCGGCUCAACUGGGGAACUGCACAGGAGACUGCUUGGCUUGAGUUCGGGAGAGGGAAGCGGAAUUCCGGGUGUAGCGGUGAAAUGCGUAGAUAUCCGGAGGAACACCGGUGGCGAAGGCGGCUUCCUGGACCGACGCUGACGCUGAGGCGCGAAAGCCAGGGGAGCAAACGGG
rnacentral:rRNA from 1 species